rnacentral:rRNA from 1 species
UACGGGGGGGGUAAGCGUUGUUCGGAAUUACUGGGCGUAAAGGGCGCGUAGGCGGCCUGUUAAGUCGAACGUGAAAUCCCCGGGCUCAACCCGGGAACUGCGUCCGAUACUGGCAGGCUUGAAUUCGGGAGAGGGGUGUGGAAUUCCAGGUGUAGUGGUGAAAUGCGUAGAUAUCCGGAGGAACACCAGUGGCGAAGGCGACUUCCUGGCCUGUUCUUGACGCUGAGGCGCGAAAGCUGGGGGAGCAAACGGG